UACGGAAGGCAGCAGUGGGGAAUAUUGCACAAUGGGCGCAAGCCUGAUGCAGCCAUGCCGCGUGUAUGAAAAAGGCCUUCGGGUUGUAAAGUACUUUCAGUCGUGAGGAAGGUGUUAAGGUUAAUAACCUUAGCAAUUGACGUUAGCGACAGAAGAAGCACCGGCUAACUCCGUGCCAGCAGCCGCGGUAAUACGGAGGGCGCGAGCGUUAAUCGGAAUUACUGGGCGUAAAGGGCACGCAGGCGGUUAAUUAAGUUGGAUGUGAAAUCCCCGGGCUUAACCUGGGAAUGGCAUUCAAGACUGGUUAGCUAGAGUCUUGUAGAGGGGGUAGAAUUCCAUGUGUAGCGGUGAAAUGCGUAGAGAUGUGGAGGAAUACCGGUGGCGAAGGCGGCCCCUGGACAAAGACUGACGCUCAUGUGCGAAAGCGUGGGGAGCAAACAGGGAUUAGAUACC
rnacentral:rRNA from 1 species